rnacentral:rRNA from 1 species
CCUACGGGAGGCAGCAGUGGGGAAUAUUGCGCAAUGGGCGCAAGCCUGACGCAGCGACGCCGCGUGAGGGAUGAAGGCCCUCGGAUCGUAAACCUCUGUUUGCAGGGAAGAACAGUCACCGUGCUAUGCAGCAGUGAAUUGACGGUACCUGCAAAGGAAGCACCGGCUAACUCCGUGCCAGCAGCCGCGGUAAUACGGAGGGUGCGAGCGUUAAUCGGAAUUACUGGGCGUAAAGCGUUCGUAGGCGGUUUGUUAAGUCAAGGGUGAAAUCCCCGGGCUCAACGUGGGAACUGCCUUUGAAACUGGCAAACUGGAGUGUGUGAGAGGGUGGUGGAAUGCCAGGUGUAGGAGUGAAAUGCGUAGAUAUCUGGAAGAACAUCGAUGGCGAAGGCAGCUAUCUGGCACAUAACUGACGCUGAGGAACGAAAGCGUGGGUAGCAAACAGGAUUAGAUACCCCUGUAGUC